rnacentral:miRNA from 11 species
GGAGCAAAGUGUGUGUGUGUGUGUGUGUGUGUGUGUGUGUGUGUGUGCGUGCAGGUCUUCUGCCCACCCACCCCACCAGCCCCCACCC